UCCCCCAGAGGCAUCACUCCUGUCCUGGGGACGGUCACGGAUCCAGUGCAUCUGAAGACUCACUAGACAGAUGACGGUCCUGGUGAGAUUAGGAAACACGCCCGCUCCCCACACAGAAAACGCUAAGCAAAUAGUCCUAAGGGUUCUUUGGCUGCCUGCUGCUACUGCUUGUAGAACGGAGAAAGUAGACAUUAUAAAGAAUUAUUCUCUCAAAUAUCAUCCUUUGAAACAACCCCGAGGACACUUUAGGCAGUGCCACUCGGAUGGAUGCUGGUUUGUAAGCUCCCAUUGCUCUCUAAAGAACACAGAAGCGCAAUGUGGAGCUUACAGCAGUGAACCCCAGUGUGCCCCUGUGCCACCAGCAUCAGCACCGUCAGGGACUUACUAAAAAUACAAAUUCUCCAGCCUUACCCCACACCACCUGAAUCAGAAACUCUGGCUGGUUCCAGCAUCCUGAGGUUUAAUAAGCCCAACAGGUGAGUCUGAUGCACAAUAAAUUCUGAGAGACAAUGGUCCAGUGAAAAGCCUUUACAGCUGUUUUACCCCCUAAAGGACAUGUGAUAUUUCAGUAGCCUCUCAGCCAGUCUUUGAAAAAUACAGACCACAUCCCCACACCUCGCUAGCUAGCUAUAUGCUAGAAAUGGUUUCUCUUAACACUUAAAAAGUGGAAAAGAAUGUACAGCAAAUGUGGGCUUGUUGAGUCAUUUUUCUAGUAGGUAAUCAUGGGAAACUCAAUAGCCAUAGUUCAGGUCCCAUUCUGCCUUUAGUGAGACAGGGCAGCUUCUCGACUGAUGGAAAAUACCACUGAGGUCAGAUAGUUUGCAAUCCCAUUAUAUUUUUUUGAAAUAUUCAAAUAUAUAUAUAUAUAUAUGUAUAUAUAUAUAU
rnacentral:lncRNA from 1 species